UCUGGUAUAAACUUUACUGUUAAAAAAUGCAUCAACUUCUGGUUUCUGCCAGUAAAUUGGCAAACAUGAAAGAGCAGUAGGUUAGUUAGCUACUUAGAUAUUUUUAUGUUGCAGUGAUCAUAAUUGUGAUCAUUUUAAUUGAUUCAACUGUUGGUUCCUAGUGAAAUAUUGUAUUAACCAAACAAAACACUUUUUUAGCUUCUUAGUUUGUAAAAAAGGCUAAAAGAGUGUUUCAUUUAGUUAAUACAGUAACUGUGACAUCUCGCUAUGCUGUAGAAUGAGUCAGUUAUUUUAAAAUUAUACUACACUUUCUUAAUGAAAAUAUUACAAUGUGCUGACAUCUUCAUUUACAUCUACAUCAAUGUGAAUAUCUUUAACAUUGUUCUUAAGCAAACUGUUUUGGCAGUUUUUUUUUAUCUUUUUAAUGGUGAUCCGUGUGCAGCAGUAUGUGCAGCCAUGCCCAGUACUACACAUUCAGAAAUUCUUCUAUAGAGUAGAACUUAAAAUCAAGCAAAUAUGAUGUCAGUCUGUGUUUUAAAUUAAUUUUAUUGUGUGUUACAUUCUUCACAUCACUGGAUAUGUGGUCAAAUAUUUUCAUGAAUGAAUGUCUGACACUUUUUUGUAGUACAAUAAAACUGAGUGAUUGAUAGUGUUUGUCAUGUCUUUUUCUAGUAUUAUAUUGAUGAAUGUUACUUUUGUUGACAACAUGUGUUACAAGGGUGUGAAUAUACUGUGAGGCUGUUGUCAGUAUACUACACUUUAAACAGCUUACUACAAGAGGUUGUGUUGUGCACAUCAGAAAUUGGUAUAAACUUCUGUUGACGAAACUGUUUCUUCCACAAUUAAGAGUUAGCCCUGAAUAUGAAGCCAUAAUUAAAAUAGGACAAAUAAGGUCAUGUUUUGAGAUUUUCAACACUAUAAUCCACUACGUCAUCUAUAAUCCAAAUGCUGCAGAGUUCAAACGUGUAAGAUCAAUAGAUGUGACUUCCAGUUCAGUUUCUUAUCAAUGUGGCCAUCAAGAAUUUAGUAUAUUGUGUUUCAAUCAUCAAUUUUUCUUCAUGCAUUAUUGAUCACUGGAUGAAAAGAAUUGGUAAUGUGAGUGUGAAAUACAUCUCACCAGCAGUUUUCUCCAGCAAGGCCCUGAAGCAGGAAAAUAGUGACUUUCAUAUGCAAAUUGCACAAAACUGUUGCCCACGGUGUGGAAAAGUUUACGGUAACAAGGGUAACCUUAUGCGACACCUCAAGUUUGAGUGUGGUGUGGCACCGAUGUUCAGUUGUCCAUAUUGCCAGACACGGUGGAAGCGUAAGGAUAAUAUGGAAGUGCACAUUAGGACUUUACACAUGAGGGAGAGUAUUUAGUUGUUAGAAUGUCAGAAAGUAUUCUCUGUAUCUUCCAUAAUAUUUGUACCUUUGUGAAGACUCAUGAGAUUUAUAUUUUCAUGUAAGGCAGUGGUAAUGGACGAUUAAUCUAAUUGGUUCAUUGGUUGGUUGGUUUGUUUGUUGGAUUGUGUUGGUGAAUGAUUGUGCUUCCAAUUGUAAGUUAAGAACUGCAUGCAUGAGUGAUGCUUUCAUUCAGCAAUGUCUUUCAGACAAUUGGCAAAGAUCUCUCUCUGGUGAAGGAUUAGUUACACAUUAGUGAGCAUAGUGCCAAAUUUUUGUCAGGUUCCUGAACAUAGUGAUGGUUACAAAACUAUUAAGACAAGUUGGGAGUUAUAUAUCUGGAUCUCAGUGAAUACAUAACAUAACUGGUUACACAUGAAGAUUUUGUUUCAGAGCUUAAGUUGAAUGUGUUGUCCAAAUCAACAUCAGUCCUGUUAUGUGUCAAGCUUUUAUAUGUAUGUCUAAGCAUUGCACAUCAUUUACUCUGAAUAAUGUUAAAUCUUUUCAUGUGAUAACAAACUUCAUGUGAGAUUCAGUUUGUAAUAGGUAGUUGCUUUUUUUAAAUAAAAUAAUUUGUUAUUUGAUGAA